ensembl:snoRNA Gm26354 predicted gene, 26354
CCUGCCUUUAUGGGGGAGGGGGGGUUAUAGCAGAUAUGUCUUCUGUGUCAUAUGUGUGCCAACAGGUGGCAGAGAGGAGAGGGACUAUAUUCUACCUAUGAACAUCUGAAUGAUUAGUAGACUAAUAUU